rnacentral:rRNA from 1 species
UACGGGGGGGGCAAGCGUUGUUCGGAAUUACUGGGCGUAAAGGGCGCGUAGGCGGCCUGCUAAGUCGGACGUGAGAUCCCUCGGCUCAACCGGGGAACUGCGUCCGAUACUGGUGGGCUCGAAUCCGGGAGAGGGAUGUGGAAUUCCAGGUGUAGCGGUGAAAUGCGUAGAUAUCUGGAGGAACACCUGUGGCGAAGGCGGCCCCCUGGUUGGAUACUGACGCUGAUACGCGAAAGCGUGGGGAGCAAACAGG